UAGAUAGAGCCAUGCCUUCGCUAGGGCGG
rnacentral:piRNA from 1 species